rnacentral:rRNA from 1 species
AGUGAACGCUGGCGGUAGGCCUAACACAUGCAAGUCGAACGGCAGCACAGUAAGAGCUUGCUCUUACGGGUGGCGAGUGGCGGACGGGUGAGGAAUACAUCGGAAUCUACUUUUUCGUGGGGGAUAACGUAGGGAAACUUACGCUAAUACCGCAUACGACCUACGGGUGAAAGCAGGGGAUCUUCGGACCUUGCGCGAUUGAAUGAGCCGAUGUCGGAUUAGCUAGUUGGCGGGGUAAAGGCCCACCAAGGCGACGAUCCGUAGCUGGUCUGAGAGGAUGAACAGGCACACAGGAACUGAGACACGGUCCAGGUCCCCACGGGCGGCAGAGGGGGGGAAGAGUGGAACAGGGGCGGAAUCCUGAUCCAGCCUUGCCGGGUGGGUGAAGAAGGCCUUCGGGUUGGAAAGCCCUUUUUUGGGGAAAAAAAGGCAGCAGGUUAAACCCCCGCUGUUCGGAGUGGACCAAAAGAAAAAGCCCCGGUAAACUGGGG